rnacentral:rRNA from 1 species
CAGGCCUAACACAUGCAAGUCGAGCGAUGAACCGGUGCUUGCAUCGGGGAUUAGUGGCGAACGGGUGAGUAACACGUGAGUAACCUGCCCUUGACUCUGGGAUAAGCCUGGGAAACUGGGUCUAAUACCGGAUAUGACCAUCUGACGCAUGUCAUGGUGGUGGAAAGCUUUUGUGGUUUUGGAUGGACUCGCGGCCUAUCAGCUUGUUGGUGGGGUAAUGGCCUACCAAGGCGACGACGGGUAGCCGGCCUGAGAGGGUGACCGGCCACACUGGGACUGAGACACGGCCCAGACUCCUACGGGAGGCAGCAGUGGGGAAUAUUGCACAAUGGGCGCAAGCCUGAUGCAGCGACGCCGCGUGAGGGAUGACGGCCUUCGGGUUGUAAACCUCUUUCAGUAGGGAAGAAGCGAAAGUGACGGUACCUGCAGAAGAAGCGCCGGCUAACUACGUGCCAGCAGCCGCGGUAAUACGUAGGGCGCAAGCGUUAUCCGGAAUUAUUGGGCGUAAAGAGCUCGUAGGCGGUUUGUCGCGUCUGCUGUGAAAGACCGGGGCUCAACUCCGGUUCUGCAGUGGGUGCAGUAGGGGAGACUGGAAAUUCCUGGUGUAGCGGUGAAAUGCGCAGAUAUCAGGAGGAACACCGAUGGCGAAGGCAGGUCUCUGGGCUGUAACUGACGCUGAGGAGCGAAAGCAUGGGGAGCGAACAGGAUUAGAUACCCUGGUAGUCCAUGCCGUAAACGUUGGGCACUAGGUGUGGGGGACAUUCCACGUUUUCCGCGCCGUAGCUAACGCAUUAAGUGCCCCGCCUGGGGAGUACGGCCGCAAGGCUAAAACUCAAAGGAAUUGACGGGGGCCCGCACAAGCGGCGGAGCAUGCGGAUUAAUUCGAUGCAACGCGAAGAACCUUACCAAGGCUUGACAUGAACCGGAAAGACCUGGAAACAGGUGCCCCGCUUGCGGUCGGUUUACAGGUGGUGCAUGGUUGUCGUCAGCUCGUGUCGUGAGAUGUUGGGUUAAGUCCCGCAACGAGCGCAACCCUCGUUCUAUGUUGCCAGCGCGUUAUGGCGGGGACUCAUAGGAGACUGCCGGGGUCAACUCGGAGGAAGGUGGGGACGACGUCAAAUCAUCAUGCCCCUUAUGUCUUGGGCUUCACGCAUGCUUCAAUGGCCGGUACAAAGGGUUGCGAUACUGUGAGGUGGAGCUAAUCCCAAAAAGCCGGUCUCAGUUCGGAUUGGGGUCUGCAACUCGACCCCAUGAAGUCGGAGUCGCUAGUAAUCGCAGAUCAGCAACGCUGCGGUGAAUACGUUCCCGGGCCUUGUACACUCCGCCC